rnacentral:piRNA from 1 species
UGCAUCCUGCUUCUUCUCCAUCAGUGCA